GCUGCAACUCGACUCCAUGAAGCUGGAUUCGCUAGUAAUCGCGCAUCAGCCAUGGCGCGGUGAAUACGUUCCCGGGCCUUGUACACACCGCCCGUCAAGCCAUGGGAGUCGGGAGUGCCUGAAGUUCGUGACCGUCACAGGAGCGACCUAAGGCAAGACCGAUGACUGGGGCUAAGUCGUAACAAGGUACC
rnacentral:rRNA from 1 species